rnacentral:lncRNA from 1 species
CAAGUACAUAUUAAUUCAUUUCUAGGGUUUAGGAAUUUUGUAAUCCCAUAUUUUCUCUAUUCUCAUUCGAAUAGCAAACCAUAUAGGUUUUACUUGAAAAUUUUAAAUAAAUCCUCAAAUUCUCAUCUAGGUUUUAUUCUUUAACCUUUAUUCUAAUCAUUUAAGAUUUUAGAAAUUUUCGGGUUAUCACAUUCACCCCUUCUUCUAAGAAUUUCGUCCUCGAAAUUAAAGCAUACUAAUCUCUGCUUAUUCUCGUAUUCAUAACUAGGUUUUCAACUUAACCUUUACAAUUUCCUCCUUUGAGGAUUUCUCUUUCUAUCAUCACAUUUCACCAUAACUACUCACUAGAAGUUUACAUCUUCUAAACAUUCUUCAAAACUAGGUUGUCGUAAUAACCUUUAUUCAAUCAUCUCAGAUUCUACUCGUACACAACGAGUUUACAUUAUUUCAUAUCAAUCAUCACGUUCUACCACAACAUUACUCUGAAGGGUUUAAAAAAAAACUUUUCAUAUCUGUCUAAGGGAUCAUAAAAAUUUUGAACUUUGAGGUUUAAGGGUAUUUCUACCUGCUACCUCUUUCCAUUACGAAAGAAAGGUACUCUACCUCUGAAACAUUUCUUUAAUAGGUGUGUUUACAAUCACAAAGAAGGUAAACUACCGAUGCUGGUACUUUAGAUGAUCAGUCUAUUGUACCUUAGUAAUCUGAACGACUAUAUGCGUCCUUAGAUUGGAAUAUUUUAUCCAAAUAGUAUAUCCCCAUUUUCAGGGUUGUUCACCUCAGACUUAUCAUAAGAUUCCUCACCAAAACAAUUUGGUUCGGCAUAAGCUUUUAAAGAAUACUUUGAAUUUUCAUAUACAUUUGUCUAGCUAAAUCAAAUAGCUUAGACACAUAUCAAUAAUUCGAAUUUCAAUCGAAAUAUUUCUGGCCAAAUUCAGUUGGCAUAAAUUAUCUUUAAAAUUCUUAAAAUCAUUUUGACGUCAUGAUACCGCACUGUAUAUANN